CUUUAUGGCGGUUGUGCGUGGGAGACUUUCGAGUCUGCCGGGUUUCUAUGGUUAACCGGUUCGCCAACCCGCGCACAGCUGCCACCCCU
rnacentral:antisense_RNA from 1 species